AAAUCAACCUCUUAACUGAAGACCCUUGGGGAUCACUGGAGUCACAGGCACGGAAACUUCAGGCAUCCUGGAAAUUACCUGUAGCGUGGAUUUGCUACAUUUCCCAAAAGGUCACAGUCCAGGUAGAUCCCCUACAAGGAUAAAUGUGAUAUAUCUUAAGAGUAACCACUUCGCAACGACAUGAGCCCUACUCUGCUCCAUGGCUUGUUUUUGAAGACUCUGUGGAGAAGAACUCCUGAGCAUAUUUUAAAAGCUGAAAAUGAGCACAGCAGGGACCCUCAGCUGAAUCAGAAGAAGACGCUAUCUUGGUGACAAAUCUUCCACCUGCCAGUGUUUCUUGAUGAUCAUGACAAUUUGAAGAGUAUUGGCGAGGGAUAAAAUUAUUCUCAUCAUGUCCUUCAGAUGUGAUUUCUCCAAUAAUUUUCUCGCAGUUCCAGUUCCAGUUCAAGGCUUUCUAAUCAAAGAGAUGAAAGACCUCUACAAUGAAAAUUUUAAGACAAUGAAGAAAGAAGCUAAGAAACAUAAUGGAAGAUAUAAAGAACCUC